rnacentral:rRNA from 1 species
GAUGAACGCUGGCGGCGUGCCUAAUACAUGCAAGUCGAGCGAACAGACGAGGAGCUUGCUCCUCUGUCGUUAGCGGCGCACGGGUGAGUAACACGUGGAUAACCUACCUAUCAGACUGGGAUAACUUCGGGAAACCGGAGCUAAUACCGGAUAAUAUAUUGAACCGCAUUGUUCAAUAGUGAAAGACGGUUUUGCUGUCACUUAUAGAUGGAUCUGCGCCGCAUUAGCUAGUUGGUAAGGUAACGGCUUACCAAGGCGACGAUGCGUAGCCGACCUGAGAGAGGGGUAGGCGACACGGGAACGGAGACACGGUCAAGACGCCUAAGGGAGGGAGCAGUAGGGAAUCGGACGCAGUGGGCGAAAGCAUGACGGAGCAACGCGGAGUGAGUGGUGAAGAUGUUCGGAUCGGAAAAAUCUGUUAUGAGGUAAGAACAAAUGUGUAAGUAAAUAUGCACGGAGUGACGGUACCGGGUCAGAAAGCCACGGCUAACUACGUG